CAAGCAGUCCCAAAAUUUAUUAUUACAUGAUAAGAGGUUUACAAAAGUUGUUACAAUACAAUAAAUUAAUAAGAAAUGAAUAAAUGAAUAAAUAAAAGGGAAUGAACUACCCUAUUUUCCCAUAAACUACCAGCGACUCUUUGAAUCCCUCCGCAUCCCUAAUUAUACCUGUUUGGCAUGAAUAAAGUAGCACAAAGGAAAAAGAGCGAAUACCCCUUACGUUGCUUCGAAAACACAGAAACAAGGAAAGCAAGGCAUAACAAAUGAAGUACAAAUAACAGAGAUCCUAAAGGCGUGUUUUGUAGCAUCACUAUAUAAGGUAUUAAAAUUGCAAUGAAAGGAACUUAUCGGUUGACGAUAAUAAGCAAUAAUAAGAAAACCAAACUGAAUUACCACAGAUAAAUGAAGAUCAAUUCUCCAAAAAUGAGUGCGAUUCAAGAAUAAUAAAGUAAUUUCCUCUAGUUUUAAGAGCAACGCUUAAAGCUUUUUCAUAUGAAAAAUAUAGUGUUUAAAGAGUACAGAGAAUGUUUGCAAUGUUUUAAAGCGUGCCUAAGGAAAUAAGAAGAGAUUGUUUAUAUAAAAUAAAAAGGGGGAAUGGAGGAUCUGAAUAGAAAAAGGAAAGAAAAUAUUUUAACCCCUCAGUCAAGGAAAAAUCUUCCUUAAAUCCAUGGCUGAUUCAAUUAGGUCAGCAAAUCAUGCAAAUUCCAAAAAAUAAGGAAAACGAGGAUUGGGGCAAUCAAUCAAAACUCCCUUAAUUAGCACCGAAUCAAGAGAUACAAUAAUAAUCUAUUCACACAUUUAUAAUGCAUAUUGAACUUCCAUAAAUAAACAAGUGAAAUUAUUAUGACUUAAUACAAUAAAACACUGAUAAUAGAAACGCUCCCAUGUUAAACAUUACGGAUUGCGAUUAUUCAAAAAAUAAACCUCCGACCAUGAUACAAAUCACAAGGAGAUCAAAUCACGGGAAUCAAAUUAGCACUUAAUUGUUAUGAACCAUAUUUUAAAUUCAACUAAAAAUUUUGAUCUUUAUGGCAGAGAUUGCUCCUAAUUCAAGAAAACCAAAAUAAUCCACAAACAAUCAACAAACAGUAGUAAGAUCGGUAAAUAAACAUGAUUAAGUCAUAAUUCAAAAUUGUGUAUUGUCAAUUAAAAGACCGACCAAAAGAAAAUGAGGAUACUCAAACCAGAAACUCAAUCGGGAAGGAAAACCUGAGACGAAUUUUGUAAAUCCGUCAUGCGUUAGUGAUUUCGACAGCAUUUAUCCUAAAAUAAUAGUGGUAGCAACGUGACUUUUCUGUCGGCGAUGAGCGUUGCAUAGUCGGCUGGGACUCACCGGUCAUCAACUCUGGUGAAUACAAGUGAUAAGAGAGAAUAUUGGUAGUGAGAGCCAUAGCAGUGACCGGUGACGACUGGUGUUAUUGCUGUUGCCGCUGUUGGUGGCGUCAGUCGGAACGUGUGGACGAGUUUUCAUCGAGAAUGGGAGAUAGGGCGCCGGCUAUAUGGGGGAGACCUCUUGGUUGAAACAGUGGUUAUUGGGAGCUUCGUUGGCUGAGCGGCGGCCAGUUUUGAUGGAUGGUUGGCCUCCCAUUGAUGGAGUAGUGGGGGUUUACGCCGGCCAUGGUGGAAAAUGGCAUGAGGGAGAAGCCGGCGGCAGUCAAGUGUUGCUGGUCCAUCGGCGGUGGUUGACAUUAUAGAGAGAGAGAGAAGAGAAGGGAGACAGAGCAAAAGGGGAAGGAAAUGCGAAUGUUGGAAAAAUUUUAGGGUUUAGGGUAGUCUGAGGGUGAAAAGGAAAGAAAGAAAGUUUUGGAUCUCAGCCGUUGGAUUAUUUUUUAUCAACAGCUGAGAUCAAAAUGAUCUAAAAAUGUGUUAGAAUUUAAAUUCUAAUUUGAGAUCAAAAAAUUGACAAAAAUUGUCAUUAACUUGAUACAAUAUGGCUAGAA
rnacentral:lncRNA from 1 species